UACUAUGCAUGUCUGGCUUUUAGGUGGUGUCUGGAGAUCCGAACGCCUAUCUUCAUGAUGCUUCAGAAAAUGCUCACCUGUUGAGCUAUCUCCCCUGCCCUUGAAGACAUUUCAAGAUGCCAUUUAUGAAGGGCAGUUGAUCCUCUGUGUCUAAACCCCUCUCACACGCGGACAUUGGGCACAAAACAGACAAGAAAGAGGUUGGGAGGAUGGAAGAGAGAGGAGUUGCCUGGAUUGCUUUAUGUCAACUUAUAGAAGCUUAAGGUCACAGUCGCCGAUCCUGCUGUGUCAUCCGUGGAGGGCUGAGUCAGCCCUGCCUCAAACCUGAACCCAGUGGACCGGGAUCUGUACGAGGCUCUCUAGCUCCACCGUCUGGCAGGGGAGCGCAAUGAAACAGAGACACUGUGUU
rnacentral:lncRNA from 1 species